GCCUCCCGAGUAGCUCGCAUUACAGGUUGCACUGUAGAUGGCCUUGUUACAGUGCACGGGCAUUCUGGUGAAUGACUUUGAUUACUCUGGGACGAGGUCCUGUUGCUGUGAAAAUCAGGUAGAGUCUUGCUGUGUUGUCCAGGCUGGAGUGAAGUGACAUGACCAAGCUCAUUGCAACCUCUAUCUCUGAGGCUCAAGCAAUCCUCCCACCUCAGCUUCUUAAGUUGCUGGAGACUACAGGCAUGCACCACCACGCCUAGUUAUUUUUUUUUUUAUUAAUUUUUUUAAACGGCUGGUCUUGAAGUCCUGAGCUCAAGCAAUCCUCCUGCCUCGCCCUCCAAAAGUGCUGAGGUUACAUGUUUGAGCCACCGUUCCUGGUCUGGGAAGUUAUUUUUAAAGUGUGAUUUGAUUUUUAUUAUCCCCUUGGAAAAUGUGAGAUAAUAUUUGCUUGCUUUCUUGUCCUUGUGUUCAAUUUCUUUGUUUUAUUCAAUUUACUUUAGCUAUAUUUUGUUUUAAAAUAUCAAAAUAUAUAAUUAUGUAUAAUCUUUUGUGAAUUGUAUCUUAAUUAUUGUUGCAUAUAAAGAGUUGUUCUAAAUUAUAAUGUUUAAUAAAUUAAAGCAACUCUCUUUGAAAAA
rnacentral:lncRNA from 10 species